rnacentral:rRNA from 1 species
UACGUAGGGUGCAAGCGUUGUCCGGAAUUAUUGGGCGUAAAGAGCUCGUAGGCGGUCUGUUGCGUCCGCUGUGAAAACUCGGGGCUUAACCCCGAGCCUGCAGUGGAUACGGGCAGACUAGAGUGUGGUAGGGGAGACUGGAAUUCCUGGUGUAGCGGUGAAAUGCGCAGAUAUCAGGAGGAACACCGAUGGCGAAGGCAGGUCUCUGGGCCAUAACUGACGCUGAGAAGCGAAAGCAUGGGGAGCGAACAGG